GCUGUGAAGAUGAGAGUGUUGAUAGCAGAUGGGAAAACAUUUUGCAGUGUAUGAAAUGAGGUAUAAAGACAGAUCCUCCAAAAGGAACUCAUUUGUCAAUGAUCCUCCCCCCAAAGGUAUCGUCAACCAGGGAAGAUGAACUCUUACCACAGGCGAGAAGAGUAGAAGUCAGCAUCACACAUGGAAGAUAAACUGUCACAAACCAUCAUACUGCCAAUCUCUUCUUCUGUCUUUCCCAAAAAUAAUAUCCUCUCCCCUAAGAGGCCUACACCGCCCUCCUCUUUCCUUAUUACAAUGGUAUUUAACCCUGAAUUCUAAACCACCUCAGGGAGUUACUCAUUUCCCCCUGGGUAUCUCCCAUGUAUACACAAGGUAUACAUGUUAAGAAACUUCUGCUUGUUUUUCUCUAGUUAAUCUGUCUUUUAUUAUAGGGAUCUCAGCUAAGAACUCAAAAGGGUAGAGAUACAAGUAUUUUUCCUUCCCUACAACAGCAAAACAAAACAAAAUGUGGAAAUAAAAACACUGCCUUUCAGCUUACAUGUUUGCCCCUGACCCCAGGGGAGCAUAUGUGUGAUGCAUCCCCAGUAGGGGGUGCCUGUCACCAGUGGUGGAGUCCCAUAUUUAUUCAAGGACUGGGAUGGUUCUGACUCAACUGUUUCCCAGCAUCCUAUUCCACAUGGCCACCUAACCCUGGCUGAGAGACCAAGAACUCCCCAUAUCUCCAUAUUGGUGCUCAGGACAAUCAAUGGGAAUCACUGUAGCAACCCCACUCCUACAGGACGCCCUCUUCAGAAGGGGUCUUGCCUUACCUCCUCCUACUCUAUUCUGAAGGAGGAGUAACUCAGAGUUGUUUGUUGAGGUUCCGACACUAACAAGGACAAGGCAUAUCCUGAGGUGGAUGCCUUGGUUGGGUUUUGCUAGGGUCAGUCUGGUCUGUUCCUUCCUGAUAACAUGGUCAGAACAUGAUGUGUGUGUUCUCUUAAAAACAAUAAAUACAAUUCUGGCUACAAAAAUAA